rnacentral:sRNA from 1 species
UGCUGCAACCCAGUACCACCCCUUGUGCGGCAGCAGAUCAACGAAAUGCACCUUUUAAUCCAGCAGGCCCGAGAGAUGCCCCUGCUCAAGUCUGAAGUUGCAGCCGGAGUGAAGAAGAGCGGACCGCUGCCCAGUGCCGAGAGAUUGGAGAAUGUUCUCUUUGGACCUCACGACUGCUCCCAUGCCCCUCCGGAUGGCUAUCCAAUCAUCCCAACCAGUGGUAAAGUCGAGAGCCCUCCUGACUGUCCCGAAGAGGAUCUGUGCCAGUUCAGAAGCAGGCGAGCCUCUUCCCUGAUGAAAAAGAAGAUAACUUGCUGGGUACCACGUGCCUGAUUGCCACAGCUGUCAUCACGUUAUUUAAUGAACCUAGUGCUGAAGACAGUAAAAAGGGUCCAUUGACA